CACGCACACGUGAUGAAAUAAAUGUUGGUAGGGACAUCUGAUUAAAAUGAAGAAACGCCAACCAUUCUGACAUUGCGUG